GAUGAACGCUGGCGGCGUGCCUAAUACAUGCAAGUCGAGCGAACAGACGAGGAGCUUGCUCCUCUGACGUUAUCGGCGGACGGGUGAGUAACACGUGGAUAACCUACCUAUAAGACUGGGAUAACCUCGGGAAACCGGAGCUAAUACCGGAUAAUAUAUUGAACCGCAUGGUUCAAUAGUGAAAGACGGUUUUGCUGUCACUUAUAGAUGGAUCCGCGCCGCAUUAGCUAGUUGGUAAGGUAACGGCUUACCAAGGCAACGAUGCGUAGCCGACCUGAGAGGGUGAUCGGCCACACUGGAACUGAGACACGGUCCAGACUCCUACGGGAGGCAGCAGUAGGGAAUCUUCCGCAAUGGGCGAAAGCCUGACGGAGCAACGCCGCGUGAGUGAUGAAGGUCUUCGGAUCGUAAAACUCUGUUAUUAGGGAAGAACAAAUGUGUAAGUAACUAUGCACGUCUUGACGGUACCUAAUCAGAAAGCCACGGCUAACUACGUG
rnacentral:rRNA from 1 species